AGAGUUUGAUCCUGGCUCAGAACGAACGCUGGCGGCAUGCCUAAUACAUGCAAGUCGAACGGCAGCACGGGGGCAACCCUGGUGGCGAGUGGCGAACGGGUGAGUAAUAUAUCGGAACAUGUCCGGAAGUGGGGGAUAACGUACCGAAAGGUACGCUAAUACCGCAUAUGCCCUGAGGGGGAAAGGGGGGGAUCGCAAGACCUCUCGCUUUCGGAGUGGCCGAUAUCGGAUUAGCUAGUUGGUGAGGUAAAGGCUCACCAAGGCGACGAUCCGUAGCUGGUCUGAGAGGACGACCAGCCACACUGGAACUGAGACACGGUCCAGACUCCUACGGGAGGCAGCAGUGGGGAAUUUUGGACAAUGGGCGCAAGCCUGAUCCAGCCAUGCCGCGUGAGUGAAGAAGGCCUUCGGGUUGUAAAGCUCUUUCAGCCGGAAAGAAAUUGCUUCUAUUAAUACUAGGAGUAGAUGACGGUACCGGAAGAAGAAGCACCGGCUAACUACGUGCCAGCAGCCGCGGUAAUACGUAGGGUGCGAGCGUUAAUCGGAAUUACUGGGCGUAAAGCGUGCGCAGGCGGUUUGGUAAGACAGACGUGAAAUCCCCGGGCUUAACCUGGGAACUGCGUUUGUGACUGUCAGACUAGAGUGUAGCAGAGGGGGGUAGAAUUCCACGUGUAGCAGUGAAAUGCGUAGAUAUGUGGAGGAAUACCAAUGGCGAAGGCAGCCCCCUGGGUUAACACUGACGCUCAUGCACGAAAGCGUGGGGAGCAAACAGGAUUAGAUACCCUGGUAGUCCACGCCCUAAACGAUGUCAACUAGGUGUUGGGGAAGGAGACUUCUUUAGUACCGCAGCUAACGCGUGAAGUUGACCGCCUGGGGAGUACGGUCGCAAGAUUAAAACUCAAAGGAAUUGACGGG
rnacentral:rRNA from 1 species